rnacentral:rRNA from 1 species
GCUAUAAUGCAGUCGAGCGGAAGAUGGGAGCUUGCUCCCUGAUGUUAGCGGCGGACGGGUGAGUAACACGUGGGUAACCUGCCUGUAAGACUGGGAUAACUCCGGGAAACCGGGGCUAAUACCGGAUGGUUGUUUGAACCGCAUGGUUCAGACAUAAAAGGUGGCUUCGGCUACCACUUACAGAUGGACCCGCGGCGCAUUAGCUAGUUGGUGAGGUAACGGCUCACCAAGGCGACGAUGCGUAGCCGACCUGAGAGGGUGAUCGGCCACACUGGGACUGAGACACGGCCCAGACUCCUACGGGAGGCAGCAGUAGGGAAUCUUCCGCAAUGGACGAAAGUCUGACGGAGCAACGCCGCGUGAGUGAUGAAGGUUUUCGGAUCGUAAAGCUCUGUUGUUAGGGAAGAACAAGUGCCGUUCAAAUAGGGCGGCACCUUGACGGUACCUAACCAGAAAGCCACGGCUAACUACGUGCCAGCAGCCGCGGUAAUACGUAGGUGGCAAGCGUUGUCCGGAAUUAUUGGGCGUAAAGGGCUCGCAGGCGGUUUCUUAAGUCUGAUGUGAAAGCCCCCGGCUCAACCGGGGAGGGUCAUUGGAAACUGGGGAACUUGAGUGCAGAAGAGGAGAGUGGAAUUCCACGUGUAGCGGUGAAAUGCGUAGAGAUGUGGAGGAACACCAGUGGCGAAGGCGACUCUCUGGUCUGUAACUGACGCUGAGGAGCGAAAGCGUGGGGAGCGAACAGGAUUAGAUACCCUGGUAGUCCACGCCGUAAACGAUGAGUGCUAAGUGUUAGGGGGUUUCCGCCCCUUAGUGCUGCAGCUAACGCAUUAAGCACUCCGCCUGGGGAGUACGGUCGCAAGACUGAAACUCAAAGGAAUUGACGGGGGCCCGCACAAGCGGUGGAGCAUGUGGUUUAAUUCGAAGCAACGCGAAGAACCUUACCAGGUCUUGACAUCCUCUGACAAUCCUAGAGAUAGGACGUCCCCUUCGGGGGCAGAGUGACAGGUGGUGCAUGGUUGUCGUCAGCUCGUGUCGUGAGAAGUUGGGUUAAGUCCCGCAACGAACGCAACCCUUGAACUUAAUUGCCAGCAUUCAGUUGGGCCUCUAAGGGACUGCCGUGACAACCGAAGAAAGUGGGGAUGAAGUC